AUAUAUCGUUUAUUUCUCCUCACAACAAAAAAGACUUAUGAAUAUGUUUACAUCUUACUUAAAUGUUAAAAAUACAGUCUAGUGUGUGUAAGGAGCUGGUGUCUGAAGUAGGUAUAACCUGUAUUACAGAUCACCAGGUCCUCACCCCGCAGAGUUUACAAUCGUAAGUAUACAUACUAUAUUUGAUAGGUGCUAUUUUUAUGAUAGGAGAUUACAAGAAAAAGAAAAUUAAAUUAAUAACUAAAACUCUAACAAUAUUAAGUAAUGACGCUUUUUAGGGUAUAUGUGUGUGUGACAGUGGUGUAAUGAGUGGAGUGGAGUAUGAGUGAAGUUGUGCGUAGUUGUGUGUGUGUGUGAGAGGAGUUGUGGGUUCUUGUGUGUGUGUGUGUGAAUGUGUGUGUGUGUGUGUGUUGUGUACUUGCUUGUGUGAUGUGUGAGCCUCAUUCCUUUAUUUUAACAGGUCUUCUGUAGUAUUGUAGUCUAGGUUUUGUAGCCACUCUUUCACUUUUUGCUUACAUUUGUUUUUUGUAAGUGGGUAAAUCGAUAACACUCUGUUUAAUUUGUUGUACAGGUUGUUACUUUGAUGGCAGAAAAACCGUUUUGCAAAGGUUGUGUUUGCUUUUUUUAUGUGACAUACCCUAUCCUUCCUUCUUAUAGAUUUAAGUUUUUCAGGUUCAUAUGAUAUCAUGGAAUGUUUUUUUAUAGGGUAAGUCCAGGAUACAUGCCUCAGUAGGAUAGAUGACUUGAUUUUUAUUUCACUAUGUUAGGAGCACUGUGAGAGUUAAAUUUCUCUAUAAGUAACGAGUCCUCCCCCCACCAACCUCAGUGCCAGGCAGACUGUGGACAGGAGCGCACGCGUUUCGUCCGUGUGAGUAAAAAUCUUCCGCGGCGAGACGACAAAAGGCGCCAAAAUAAGAUUCGAGAGCAAAAUGCCUCGUAAAUAUAAAAGAAAACCGGGUGUUAUCCCUCGCGCUGUUACCUGGACCGAAGAAAGUAUGCUAGCAGCGUUUGAAGAGAUGAAAAAGGGAGACAAGGGUGUAAAUCAGAUUUCUAAAAUUUAUGGCAUACCAUCUAGAACAUUAAGACGAAGAUUUCUUAAAAAUGACCAACAAAAAUUGACAUUAGGUAAACACCCUGUGCUAGGGUUUGAUAACGAAAAUCUCCCCCUAUCUUAAGAAUAAUUUAGUCUGAUACCAAA